rnacentral:rRNA from 2 species
ACCAUGCAAGUCGAACGAUGAUCUCCAGCUUGCUGGGGGGAUUAGUGGCGAACGGGUGAGUAACACGUGAGUAACCUGCCCUUGACUCUGGGAUAAGCCUGGGAAACUGGGUCUAAUACCGGAUACGACCGUCCCGCGCAUGCGGUGGUGGUGGAAAGCUUUUGCGGUUUUGGAUGGACUCGCGGCCUAUCAGCUUGUUGGUGGGGUAAUGGCCUACCAAGGCGACGACGGGUAGCCGGCCUGAGAGGGUGACCGGCCACACUGGGACUGAGACACGGCCCAGACUCCUACGGGAGGCAGCAGUGGGGAAUAUUGCACAAUGGGCGAAAGCCUGAUGCAGCGACGCCGCGUGAGGGAUGACGGCCUUCGGGUUGUAAACCUCUUUCAGUAGGGAAGAAGCGAAAGUGACGGUACCUGCAGAAGAAGCGCCGGCUAACUACGUGCCAGCAGCCGCGGUAAUACGUAGGGCGCAAGCGUUAUCCGGAAUUAUUGGGCGUAAAGAGCUCGUAGGCGGUUUGUCGCGUCUGCUGUGAAAGACCGGGGCUCAACUCCGGUUCUGCAGUGGGUACGGGCAGACUAGAGUGAUGUAGGGGAGACUGGAAUUCCUGGUGUAGCGGUGAAAUGCGCAGAUAUCAGGAGGAACACCGAUGGCGAAGGCAGGUCUCUGGGCAUUAACUGACGCUGAGGAGCGAAAGCAUGGGGAGCGAACAGGAUUAGAUACCCUGGUAGUCCAUGCCGUAAACGUUGGGCACUAGGUGUGGGGGACAUUCCACGUUUUCCGCGCCGUAGCUAACGCAUUAAGUGCCCCGCCUGGGGAGUACGGCCGCAAGGCUAAAACUCAAAGAAA